GAUGAACGCUGGCGGCGUGCUUAACACAUGCAAGUCGAACGGAAAGGCCGAAGCUUGCUUCGGUACUCGAGUGGCGAACGGAUGAGUAACACGUGGGUGAUCUGACAUGUACUUCGGGCUAAGCUUGGGAAACUGGGUCUAAUACCGGAUAUGACGAACUCUUGGCUGGGGUUGUGGAACGCUUUUGCGGUAUGGGAUGAGCUCGCGGCCUAUCAGCUUGGUGGGGGGGUAAUGGCCUACCAAGGCGUCGAAGGGUAGCCGGCCUGAGAGGGUGUACGGCCACAUUGGGACUGGGAUACGACACAGACUCCUACGGGAGGCAGCGAAGGGGAAUAGUGCACAAUGGGCGCAAGCCUGAUGCAGCGACGCCGCGUGGGGUAUGACGGCCUGCGGGUUGUAAACUCCUUUCGCAUUCGACGAAGCCUAUUGGUGACGGUAGGUUGAGAAGAAGCACCGGCUAACUACGUG
rnacentral:rRNA from 1 species